rnacentral:rRNA from 1 species
GGGUUCGAUUCCGGAGAGGGAGCCUGAGAAACGGCUACCACAUCCAAGGAAGGCAGCAGGCGCGCAAAUUACCCAAUCCCGACACGGGGAGGUAGUGACAAUAAAUAACAAUACGGGGCUCUUUCGGGUCUCGUAAUUGGAAUGAGUACAAUUUAAAUCCCUUAACGAGGAACAAUUGGAGGGCAAGUCUGGUGCCAGCAGCCGCGGUAAUUCCAGCUCCAAUAGCGUAUAUUAAAGUUGUUGCAGUUAAAAAGCUCGUAGUUGAAUUUCGGGAUUGACACAUCGGUCGUGCCUUAAGGGGUAUGAACUGGUGUAGUCAAUUUCUCACCUUCUGGAGAACCGCGAUGCCCUUAAUUGGGUGUCGCGGGGAACCAGGACCUUUACUUUGAAAAAAUUAGAGUGUUUAAAGCAGGCAUUUUGCUUGAAUACAUUAGCAUGGAAUAAUAAAAUAGGACGGCAUGAUUCUAUUUUGUUGGUUUCUAGGAUCACCGUAAUGAUUAAUAGGGAUAGUUGGGGGCAUUAGUAUUCAAUUGUCAGAGGUGAAAUUCUUGGAUUUAUUGAAGACUAACUACUGCGAAAGCAUUUGCCAAGGAUGUUUUCAUUAAUCAAGAACGAAAGUUAGGGGAUCGAAGACGAUCAGAUACCGUCGUAGUCUUAACCAUAAACUAUGCCGACUAGGAAUCAGACGAUGUUAAUUUUUUAAUGACUCGUUUGGCACCUUACGGGAAACCAA